CACUGCAUAUUUUGUAUCGUCUCUCUUAUUGAACACACCUGAUUCAGAUCACCAGCUCAUUAAGAAAGAGCUCUAUGAACUGAAACAUGCUACAAUCUGAAUAGUUACCUUAAAAUAGAUGGAAAGCUCUCCAGAUUUAUCUAAAGCCAAUUUCUUCUAGGUGUUAGCAGUUAGAAGCCACUCCUCAACCUGACAAUAGUAUUGACCCAUAUCAGUGGGGUUGAUCUGUGGCACAGUCGGUUUAUAGUGUGUGGCACUUGGUCAUCCAAACACCAGAUAUUUAUCACUAAUUGCACCGUGUAAGAUACCAUCAUGCCUUGCAGUGAAUAUAGUGACUGGUCCUUCUUCUUCCUGAACCCUGAACCAGGCUUCAAAUGCAGACUUAUCACUGGACCGUGAGGCAAUGACAGUCAACGGUGAACCCAGCCUGAUGAUUGGUGAUUCUGAAAAACAGACAGGCCCAUUGGGAAUAACACUGGGAGUCACUAUUCCUCUGAUUUGCAUUCUUGUAUUGGUCAUAAUAUUGUUGCUGAGAAGGGAGCACAAGAGGAACUCUGAACUGAAGAAGAAGAAAGAGUGUCUUACUCCUGUAGAUGAGGUGACUUCUGCUGCUGGGGACCAUUCCUGGUCUGUCUACUACAGUUACUGUAUUAAUGCAGUUGUCUUUGGCAUACACAAAAUAUUGUUACUGAGGGACAUCUAUUUUAAUAAAGUUCAUUUACUCCUACA